ACUCCUGCGGGAGGCAGCAGUGGGGAAUAUUGCACAAUGGGCGGAAGCCUGAUGCAGCAACGCCGCGUGCGGGAUGACGGCCUUCGGGUUGUAAACCGCUUUCGCCUGUGACGAAGCGUGAGUGACGGUAAUGGGUAAAGAAGCACCGGCUAACUACGUGCCAGCAGCCGCGGUGAUACGUAGGGUGCGAGCGUUGUCCGGAUUUAUUGGGCGUAAAGGGCUCGUAGGUGGUUGAUCGCGUCGGAAGUGUAAUCUUGGGGCUUAACCCUGAGCGUGCUUUCGAUACGGGUUGACUUGAGGAAGGUAGGGGAGAAUGGAAUUCCUGGUGGAGCGGUGGAAUGCGCAGAUAUCAGGAGGAACACCAGUGGCGAAGGCGGUUCUCUGGGCCUUUCCUGACGCUGAGGAGCGAAAGCGUGGGGAGCGAACAGGCUUAGAUACCCGUGUAGUCCCAUGAU
rnacentral:rRNA from 1 species